AGUGGCGGACGGGUGAGUAACGCGUGAGAAUCUGCCUUGGGGUCGGGGACAACCACUGGAAACGGUGGCUAAUACCGGAUAAGCCGAUUGGUGAAAGAUUUAUUGCCCGAAGAGGAGCUCGCGUCUGAUUAGCUAGUUGGUGAGGUAAGAGCUCACCAAGGCAGCGAUCAGUAGCUGGUCUGAGAGUACGAUCAGCCACACUGGGACUGAGACACGGCCCAGACUCCUACGGGAGGCAGCAGUGGGGAAUUUUCCGCAAUGGGCGAAAGCCUGACGGAGCAAGACCGCGUGAGGGAGGAAGGCUCUUGGGUUGUAAACCUCUUUUCUCAGGGAAGAAGCUCUGACGGUACCUGAGGAAUCAGCCUCGGCUAACUCCGUGCCAGCAGCCGCGGUAAUACGGAGGAGGCAAGCGUUAUCCGGAAUUAUUGGGCGUAAAGCGUCCGCAGGUGGCGAUUCAAGUCUGCUGUCAAAGCACGGGGCUUAACUCCGUAAAGGCAGUGGAAACUGAAUAGCUAGAGUGCCGUAGGGGUAGAGGGAAUUCCCGGUGUAGCGGUGAAAUGCGUAGAGAUCGGGAAGAACAUCGGUGGCGAAAGCGCUCUACUGGACGGCAACUGACACUCAGGGACGAAAGCUAGGGGAGCGAAUGGGAUUAGAUACCCC
rnacentral:rRNA from 1 species